GCUGAUCUCGUUUUCCCCUUAAACUGGCUAUCUAAGUGAACUAUCCCUAAUCAUCAAAUAAGACACUCAAGCCCUUUUCUCAUAUUCAGCACUUACAGACAAGUGUGCAGACAUCUUUGCUGCUCUCUUUUUCAGGGAUCCAUCAGGUUGACUUCGGUUCAAAACACUCCAUACUCUCUGCAGUGUCUUUACCUCCAGCUGAAACACUAGUGCAGAUGGAGUGAAUCAACAUGCCGUGGUUCGCCUCAGUGGACAGAGGAGGCAGACGCUCUUUAACAACAUCCCGCACGUUUUCUUUUUUGUUCUACAUUUUUCAUCCUCCUGUAAAAGUUAUGCUCCCCUCUGAGGUCUUUGUGUUGUUUCUCUGCAGAGACUUGGAGACAACCUCCUGACAUCCCAGGGCUUUCAUGAAUGGUAAGUUAUUCCCCACUGAGGUCCAUUACCCACGCUGGAGAUAAAGUAGUUGACUUUAAGUGGGUCUUUGACUCUCAGAUACUUUCUCCUCCAGAGGGAUUUCACUCUGGAGACUGAAGAGAAAACCUCCCUGGUUGGAAAGAGGAAAGACAGUAAUGGGAGAAUCAAUCUCUGAGAGCUAUUCUUUAGAUUCAUCUUUUAUCGCAAUAUUAAUAUUUGAAAGGUUUUAAGACAUUCAUUAUGUUCAUGUUAGACUGAGCACAUUCAGUUUGUUUUGCUCCACGAACAGUCAAUGUCUGUUAUUUUUAGCUUCAAUUUUCUCUUUCUUUUCAGUACAGCAGCAUAGUUCAUAAUAAAGUGAGCACUUUGUGUAUUAGGAUACAGGUUACUCUGUUCUUUCCAGGAGGCUGAUUUCCUAAAUGUAAAUGAAGGGCGUGGUUUCUGCAGUGCAGCUUCAGAAUUUGAGGAACCUGAAUAUACGAGCUCUGAAAAGUCAUGAUGGCUUGGGCUAGCGCAUCUGUCUGGCAUGUACCAUAAUUAGGCUGAUUCAGAUAAAGUAGACCUGUUAUACUUGCUCUUGUCCUGUUUAUCAGACAUGCAGAAUAAAUAAUGUCACAAUGGUGUAAUGUAUCCCACUGCUUUCCCUCAGGGACUCUCAGGGAUCCUUCUGCUUUCAGGUCUCCAUCACUUUCCUCAGUUGGAAACUUUCUGGACUUGCUGACAUCAGGAUUUCUAUCUGUCUGUCUGCAUGAGAAGGUUUGUCAGACUGCUGUGCAAGAACAUCCCUGUUUCCUCCAGCUGUGAAUGCACUUCAGACACUUCAUGGGGUUAUAAAACUGCUCUGCUUUAAUAAUGAACAGUAACUGAAGUCUCAUCUAUGAAAUGCAGCACAUAGAAACUCCCUCAGUGCACGGAAAAUUAACUGAUUCAAAUGGACCUCAUGCUGACACUCUUCAUAUGCAAUAUAACUGCAAAGAGAGCUAUAACUUAAUAGUAAUGAGCCAUCAUGACUUUCCUUAGCUGUUGGAAUCAACCUGUAGGUGGUUUCAAAUCAGUGUUGUACAUGAACCCACUAAAAUGAAUGCAUUCACUGAGCAUACUCAUGUUUUUAUGAACUGAGACAUGAGCCUACUUCACUCUAGAGGAUUGAGAGCUGCAGAAAAUCUUCAAGCAUCAUGUCAAGCCAGCUUUCCAAAUGCUGCAGAAAUGUGCAUAAUAAAUUUGUGUUCUGCAAACUGGUUGCAGAAGAUCUUGUUUGCAUACUUGUGCAAAGUAAAAACAGAAUUUGCAAAAGCAUGAUUUACUCUGGGGAUACUCUACUGAAAGCGUGCGUGCAGAACUAACUCUAUGUGGUUUCUGCUCAGCUGGUGAUUUGCACCAGAAACUUUCUUGCACUGAAGCUCAUGGGCGUAGUUGUGGGGGGAGAAGUGGACCUGACUACCCAGGGCCUGAGUGGGGAGAGGGGAUCCAUGAAAAUCCAGAUUUUCUUUGGUGAUGUUUUUAUUUUGAAUGAACUGGGCCCUCCAAUUAAUUGGUGUCAUAAUGUAUUUCAAAUAUAUUGAUAACAUUAACUGAGAGAAUGAACUUUUGGUCACAGUACUCCUAACAUAUUGGACACUCUGGGGGCCCCCUCUUGGAGGUGCAAAAUAGUUUAGUUUGCCCGACAGCGACUGGCGACAAGUGUAACAUCAGUGAGCCCAGAUUGAAUGACCUGGGGGUUAGACAUCAUGCUGCCCUAAAAGCAUAAAUUGGGGUAUGAAAAGAAGAAAGAGAGGAAAGAAAAAGAAAGAAUAAGGGGAGGCAGCUGUUGACUGCUUUCUUUCCCAAAGGUGAACCCAGUUUACUUGUUAUAAGUCUGAUUAAAGUUAACGUAGGAGCGCCAAAAGAAAACUCCUCCUCCAUCUUCUCUGCUGCAGCUUCAGCUCUGCGUCUUCAUCUACAUGUCGCCUGAUCCUGUGGAUUUAAAGUAGACCCCAUCUCUACAUCUAAUGCAUCUGUUUCCUCAUCCACCAGUCCACCUGACCGCUACCUGCUCACCUGUGCGUCUGUCCCCCUCAGUGUCUCCCUCAGCUUCACCUCUAAAUGAACAGGCUCUAAUCAGAUGGCUCCUACAUUACAGACAUUUUUUAUUUUCUGAGGUGACAUUAAUGUCAGACAGUCAAAGUCAUCAACCCUCAGAUUACACCAGAUUAAGCUCCUGGUUCCUCUUGUUUAGGAUCAUUAAGACCAAACAUCCGUGAGAGACCACAUGGCUCAGGUGGGACCAUUGGAGAAGAUCACCUUUCUGGACGGCAGAGAAAGAGGAGACACAGAUUAGAGAAAAGAUUAUGACAAGGGUAGACCGAGAAUAAACAACGAGCACAAACCAAACAACACAUAAAGAAAGAAAACAAGUUAGAAAAUCUAACGUAAGAGAGAGAGAGAGAGUUUAUAUGUGGUGUAUAUUUAAAUAUGUGUGGAUUAUAUAAGGAUAAAAUAGUGGAAGUCUUUCCAUGAGGUUUAUAUGAGGUGAAUAAAUGUUGGUGCAGUUGAUCUUCAGGACCGCUGCAGCUUUAAUAACCUCUGCUUGUAGGAGUUUGAGAGUCUAAAGUUCACCUCGCCGCUUCUCUUCCUUGAUUAUACAAAAGCUGGUUUCCCCUCUCUCAUCUCUCACACAGCACACUCCACUCUGCACACUCACUUCCUGGUUCCCCUUCCAAGUGUAAUGUCAGUGAGCCCAGAUUGAAUGACCUGGGGGUUAGACAUCAUGCUGCCCUAAAAGCAUAAAUCGGGGUAUGAAAAGAAGAAAGAGAGGAAAGAAAAAGAAAGAAUAAGGGGAGGCAGCUGUUGACUGCUUUCUUUCCCAAAGGUGAACCCAGUUUGCUUGUCCUGCAAAGUCCAAUUAAAGUUAACAUAGUCCACUCCAGACAGCUGCUGCUGAUGUUUGUAUGCUCACAUGAAGUCUUCAACUUAGCUAGUUGCAGAGCUUUUUUCGCCACUGACCACAGGUCGGUUUUUUAACGUCGAUUAAUACCUUAAGACUGAGGUCCUCGCCUCCAUGCCAAAUAUUUAAAAAGUGAACCCAUUUGCAAUAAUUUUGUAUGAUCAAAUUUAGGUAGUUACCUACCAUCUGUCUUCAGGAGAGCAGGAGAGCAUCGAGUGGGUUUUAAAUGUUGGCGCUGUUGUGUGUGAAAGAUAGUUAGAGACGCCAAGACCCGCCUUACGUUGCUUCUGAUCUGCUUAUAUUGUGUGGUGCCUUCUGUGGUUGGUUAGAUUUAGGCACAAAGGACUGAUGGAUUGGUCUGGGAUUGGUUAUCUCAGUCAGUCAAUCAGGUACUUGAACUAUGGCAAGCCAAGUUUAUUAUUAUGAAAAAAAUUAAUACAGAGUAUUGAAUUCGGAAAUAUAAGUGUGAAAAAUGUCAAGUGUGGCGUGUGGUGUGAAAAUGGGUCAAAUUGUGUGACUGUCACACCUAAAGCGUGAGACUUGGCAGCUCUGCUAGUAAUAUAUUCAUUGAGCAAUAAAGCAGUUGAUUAUUUGUGUCUGGUAAAAAGCCCCUACAUUCACUGUAAAACCUGAUGAGUAAGUUCAACUCAAAUGAUUUGAGGAAACCGAUUGCCUUGAAUCAUUUAAGUUUAUUAACUCAUAAUUUUUAAGUAUGAAAAAACACUUAAUUUAAGUUCAAGUAACUUAAAUAUUAAAAGCUAUGUUUACUUGGUCACAAGUUCAUCUUUUUAAUGCAAUUGAUUUAUUAAAAAUAGAAUCCUUUAUUAUUUUAUACUCAUAUGAAUCAUUUUUCUACACCCAUUACUUAAACUAAUCUAGUCCAUACAAAUGCAACCUUUGAGUUGCACGUACUCAGUCUUCCACUGCAGCAAAUUAUUGGAUUCUAGUUAAAACAACUUAUGGCUACUCAAUUCAAAUGAGGAAACCAAUUGCCUUAAAGGUGGGGUAGGCAGGAAUUCAUUAAAGAAGCAUAUUUUUUGUGAUGUAUAUACAAAAAAAACUUUUAAUAUCAGUCAAUAGCUAUUAGUCAUUGAUGACAUUUGGAAACAUAACGAUAUCGAUGUGUUUUAUGUCUGUGUAGUCAACAUUUUAAAAUUUCAGAGAGCUCCGCUAUUUCUGACUGUAAACAAAGCCAUUCCCCGCCUCCCCCAACCUGAUUGGUUGUGAGGCCAAUUAAUGCAUCUGAUGCAUUAAUUAAUGCAUCAGACUUCAUAUAGUGCUUUAUCAGAAACCCUCAAGCACUUUACAUUGGAUACAUCAUUCAUUCACUCACACAGUCACUUCUUAGUGGUUGUAAACUACCUUCCCACUGAGCGAUAGACGGCUAUUAGACAUCUUGUUUUUUUUUUUAGACCUAAUUUCAACCGUCUAGAUUCUGUACAUUUUUAGACGGAAUUUAGACGUUGCACUUUAAUUCGAUAACUAUUUAUCUCAAAAAGCAACAGUGAGUUGCAUAACUGAUCUCCAAGUACUUACCCAAA